rnacentral:rRNA from 1 species
AUUGAACGCUGGCGGCAGGCCUAACACAUGCAAGUCGAGCGGAGCGGCGGACGGGUGAGAAAUGCCUAGGAAUCUGCCUGGGAGUGGGGGCUAACGUCAGGAAACGGGCGCUAAUACCACAUACUUGCAGAAGAGAUUAGGUCGGAUUAGGUAGUUGGUGGGGUAAAGGCAUACCAAGGCGACGGUCCGUAACUGGUCUGGGAGGAUGAUCAGUCACACUGGAACUGAGACACGGUCCAGACUCCUACGGGAGGCAGCAGUGGGGAAUAUUGGACAAUGGGCGAAAGCCUGAUCCAGCCAUGCCGCGUGUGUGAAGAAGGUCUUCGGAUUGUAAAGCACUUUAAGUUGGGAGGCGUUACCAACAGAAUAAGCACCGGCUAACUUCGUGCCAGCCGCCGCGGUAAUAC